rnacentral:rRNA from 1 species
UGGGGAAUUUUGGACAAUGGGCGAAAGCCUGAUCCAGCAAUGCCGCGUGUGUGAAGAAGGCCUUCGGGUUGUAAAGCACUUUUGUCCGGAAAGAAAUCCUUGGCUCUAAUACAGUCGGGGGAUGACGGUACCGGAAGAAUAAGCACCGGCUAACUACGUGCCAGCAGCCGCGGUAAUACGUAGGGUGCAAGCGUUAAUCGGAAUUACUGGGCGUAAAGCGUGCGCAGGCGGUUUGCUAAGACCGAUGUGAAAUCCCCGGGCUCAACCUGGGAACUGCAUUGGUGACUGGCAGGCUAGAGUAUGGCAGAGGGGGGUUAGAAUUCCACGUGUAGCAGUGAAAUGCGUAGAGAUGUGGAGGAAUACCGAUGGCGAAGGCAGCCCCCUGGGCCAAUACUGACGCUCAUGCACGAAAGCGUGGGGAGCAAACAGGAUUAGAUACCCUGGUAGUCCACGCCCUAAACGAUGUCAACUAGUUGUUGGGGAUUCAUUUCCUUAGUAACGUAGCUAACGCGUGAAGUUGACCGCCUGGGGAGUACGGUCGCAAGAUUAAAACUUAAAGAAUUGAC